rnacentral:rRNA from 1 species
GGGUGAGUAACACGUGGGCAAUCUGCCCUUCACUCUGGGACAAGCCCUGGAAACGGGGUCUAAUACCGGAUACCACUCCUGCCUGCAUGGGCGGGGGUUGAAAGCUCCGGCGGUGAAGGAUGAGCCCGCGGCCUAUCAGCUUGUUGGUGGGGUAAUGGCCCACCAAGGCGACGACGGGUAGCCGGCCUGAGAGGGCGACCGGCCACACUGGGACUGAGACACGGCCCAGACUCCUACGGGAGGCAGCAGUGGGGAAUAUUGCACAAUGGGCGAAAGCCUGAUGCAGCGACGCCGCGUGAGGGAUGACGGCCUUCGGGUUGUAAACCUCUUUCAGCAGGGAAGAAGCGAAAGUGACGGUACCUGCAGAAAAACCGCCGGCUAACUACGUGCCACCAGCCGCGGUAAUACGUAGGGCGCAAGCGUUGUCCGGAAUUAUUGCGCGGAAAGAGCUCGUAGGCGGCUUGUCACUUCGGAUGUGAAAGCCCGAGGCUUAACCUCGCGUCUGCAUUCCAUGUCGGG